rnacentral:miRNA from 1 species
AUGUGGUACACACGGGAGAGGG